ACUUAAGCAUAUCAAUAAGCGGAGGAAAAGAAACUAACAAGGAUUCCCCUAGUAACUGCGAGUGAAGAGGGAAAAGCUCAAAUUUAAAAUCUGGCAGUUUCACUGUCCGAGUUGUAAUUUAGAGAAGUGUUACCCGUGUUGAGCCGUGUACAAGUCUCCUGGAAUGGAGCGUCAUAGAGGGUGAGAAUCCCGUCUUUGACACGGAUUUCAAUACAUUGUGGUGCGCUCUCGAAGAGUCGAGUUGUUUGGGAAUGCAGCUCUAAAUGGGUGGUAAAUUCCAUCUAAAGCUAAAUAUUGGGGAGAGACCGAUAGCGAACAAGUACCGUGAGGGAAAGAUGAAAAGAACUUUGGAAAGAGAGUUAAACAGUACGUGAAAUUGCUGAAAGGGAAACGCUUGAAGUCAGUCGCGUUAGCUGGGGAUCAGCCUUCCUUUUGGUUGGUGUACUUCCUAGUUGACGGGUCAACAUCRGUUUUGACCAGUGGAUAAGAGCUUGAGGAAUGUGGCAUCUUCGGGUGUGUUAUAGCCUCUUGUUGUAUACAUUGGUUGGGACUGAGGAACUCAGCACGCCGCAAGGCCGGGUUUUUAACCACGUUCGUGCUUAGGAUGUUGGCAUAAUGGGUUUAAUCGACCCGUCUUGGG
rnacentral:rRNA from 1 species